AUGACUCUUGAAUGAGUCGGGAGGACAGGUGAGUCACUGGCUUUGAUUUCGUUUUGAGAUGGGGCAGAAUUUUGUGUGACUGAUUAAGCCUUAUAUUCUGGAGUGGCAGAGUUUGACACAGUUCGUGCAUGUAUAGAUCUAUAUAUGUGUAGUGGAGUGGAUAUCUUAUCAGGAAACACCGGCCACCCCGAUAUCCACGUGACCCUUCCCCCUAAAUGGCACCUUGUGUCCGCGCAUGACAAGGCAGACCAACAUGGUCACUGUUGAUUCGACCGGCAUCUCCCGUAUGUUACUGGACCUACGUCGUCUCCACUCCCUGUUUGUGUCUGGUUCUACACCAUGUGUUUAUGUAUGGCUGCAGAUUGUUGAACCAGUCAUUCAUUGACAUUUGUUUAUAGUAAACAAAGGAACAAAAUGAAGACACAAUGUCCAGAUGCAUGAAUUGGAGAUUUAGUAACAAAAGAAAAAGAACCUCAUAUGCUGAACAUAAAACUUAAUGGUUUUUAUAUGCUCUCAAAACAUCAAAUCUUGCGAAACCAAGUCCUAUCAAUGGUCUUUUUCCUUCUAUUGGAUCUGACAAGAAUACAAAUAGAAUAGCUCAUGUUCAGGAUUCUAUUUACUGUGCAGUUGCUGUUUGGUCACUGGCUCAAGUUUAUAAAAAGAUUGAUGAUGACCAGGGCAGUAUCAUUAGUUGGGCCAAGCUGAUGAUAGGUAUGUUGCAAUGUUGGAUAUUCAAGUUGGCCUCCUUCAGUCUUAGAGCGACUAUGGUUCAUCUCAAACACUUUUCCAUGUGCAAUGUUGGAUAUGACAGGCAGAUAAAGU